UACGUAGGGUGCGAGCGUUAAUCGGGAUUACUGGGCGUAAAGCGUGCGCAGGCGGUUCGGUGUGUCUGAUGUGAAAGCCCCGGGCUCAACCUGGGAAUGGCAUUGGAAACUGGCGAGCUAGAGUGUGGCAGAGGGGGGUGGAAUUCCGCGUGUAGCAGUGAAAUGCGUAGAGAUGCGGAGGAACACCGAUGGCGAAGGCAGCCCCCUGGGCUAGCACUGACGCUCAGGCACGAAAGCGUGGGGAGCAAACAGG
rnacentral:rRNA from 1 species